AAGUCGUAACAAGGUUUCCGUAGGUGAACCUGCGGAAGGAUCAUUACAGUGUUUCUCUGCCCUCACGGGUAGAAACGCCCACCCUUGUAUAUUAUAUCUUUGUUGCUUUGGCAGGCCGCCUUCGGGCACCGGCUCCGGCUGGACUGCGCCUGCCAAAGGAAACCCAAACUCUGAAUGUUAGUGUCGUCUGAGUACUAUCUAAUAGUUAAAACUUUCAACAACGGAUCUCUUGGUUCUG
rnacentral:misc_RNA from 1 species